rnacentral:rRNA from 1 species
GGUCUGGGUGACCGGUCCCCCGACUGGGUGUGUACUGGAAACCCGGAUCUUUCCUUCUGGAGAACCUCAUGCCCUUCACUGGGUGUGUUGGGGAACUAGGACUUUUACUUUGAAAAAAUUAGAGUGUUUAAAGCAGGCCUACGCUUGAAUACAUUAGCAUGGAAUAAUAGAAUAGGACUU